UGGUCAUGGUGGGCGACGGCAUCAACGACAGCGCAGCCCUGCACGCUGCCGACAUUGCCGUGGUGAUGGCUGAGUCUGCUGAUCUGGCGCAGCAGGUGGCCGA
rnacentral:tRNA from 1 species